rnacentral:rRNA from 1 species
UACGUAGGCAGCGAGCGUUGUUCGGAGUUACUGGGCGUAAAGCGUGCGUAGGCGGUGUCUUAAGUUUGUUUGUGAAAUCUCCCGGCUUAACCGGGAGGGUGCGGCGAAUACUGAGAUGCUGGAGUGCGGGAGAGGUAAGCGGAAUUCCCGGUGUAGCGGUGAAAAUGCGUAGAUAUCGGGGAGGAACACCUGAGAUGUAGAUGGCUUACUGGACCGU